rnacentral:rRNA from 1 species
AACGCGCGGCGUGCCUAAUACAUGCAAGUCGAACGAGUUCUGAUUAUUGAAAGGUGCUUGCAUCUUGAUUUAAUUUUGAACGAGUGGCGGACGGGUGAGUAACACGUGGGUAACCUGCCCUUAAGUGGGGGAUAACAUUUGGAAACAGAUGCUAAUACCGCAUAAAUCCAAGAACCGCAUGGUUCUUGGCUGAAAGAUGGCGUAAGCUAUCGCUUUUGGAUGGACCCGCGGCGUAUUAGCUAGUUGGUGAGGUAACGGCUCACCAAGGCAAUGAUACGUAGCCGAACUGAGAGGUUGAUCGGCCACAUUGGGACUGAGACACGGCCCAAACUCUACGGGAGGCAGCAGUAGGGAAUCUUCCACAAUGGACGCAAGUCUGAUGGAGCAACGCCGCGUGAGUNAAGAAGGCUUUCGGGUCGUAAAACUCUGUUGUUGGAGAAGAAUGGUCGGCAGAGUAACUGUUGUCGGCGUGACGGUAUCCAACCAGAAAGCCACGGCUAACUACGUGCCAGCAGCCGCGGUAAUACGUAGGUGGCAAGCGUUAUCCGGAUUUAUUGGGCGUAAAGCGAGCGCAGGCGGUUUUUUAAGUCUGAUGUGAAAGCCCUCGGCUUAACCGAGGAAGUGCAUCGGAAACUGGGAAACUUGAGUNCAGAAGAGGACAGUGGAACUCCAUGUGUAGCGGUGAAAUGCGUAGAUAUAUGGAAGAACACCAGUGGCGAAGGCGGCUGUCUGGUCUGUAACUGACGCUGAGGCUCGAAAGCAUGGGUAGCGAACAGGAUUAGAUACCCUGGUAGUCCAUGCCGUAAACGAUGAAUGCUAGGUGUUGGAGGGUUUCCGCCCUUCAGUGCCGCAGCUAACGCAUUAAGCAUUCCGCCUGGGGAGUACGACCGCAAGGUUGAAACUCAAAGGAAUUGACGGGGGCCCGCACAAGCGGUGGAGCAUGUGGUUUAAUUCGAAGCAACGCGAAGAACCUUACCAGGUCUUGACAUCUUUUGAUCACCUGAGAGAUCAGGUUUCCCCUUCGGGGGCAAAAUGACAGGUGGUGCAUGGUUGUCGUCAGCUCGUGUCGUGAGAUGUUGGGUUAAGUCCCGCAACGAGCGCAACCCUUAUGACUAGUUGCCAGCAUUUAGUUGGGCACUCUAGUAAGACUGCCGGUGACAAACCGGAGGAAGGUGGGGAUGACGUCAAAUCAUCAUGCCCCUUAUGACCUGGGCUACACACGUGCUACAAUGGAUGGUACAACGAGUUGCGAGACCGCGAGGUCAAGCUAAUCUCUUAAAGCCAUUCUCAGUUCGGACUGUAGGCUGCAACUCGCCUACACGAAGUCGGAAUCGCUAGUAAUCGCGGAUCAGCACGCCGCGGUGAAUACGUUCCCGGGCCUUGUACACACCGCCCGUCACACCAUGAGAGUUUGUAACACCCGAAGCCGGUGGCGUAACCCUUUUAGGGAGCGAGCCGUCUAAGGUGGGNCAAAUGAUUAGGGUGAAGUCGUAACAAGGUAGCCGUAGGAGAACC